rnacentral:rRNA from 1 species
UACAGAGGUCCCAAGCGUUGUUCGGAUUCAUUGGGCGUAAAGGGGUGCGUAGGCGGCGCGGUAAGUCGGGUGUGAAUCUCGGGGCUUAAACUCCGAAACUGCAUUCGAUACUGCCGUGCUUGAGGACUGGAGAGGAGACUGGAAUUUACGGUGUAGCGGUGAAAUGCGUAGAUAUCAAGGAGGAACACCAUGGCGAAGGCAGCUCGCUGGAACGGUACUGACGCUGAGGCGCGAAAGCGUGGGGAGCAAACGGG